GCCUCAUUAAUUCCUUGUCUAUCGCAUGGUCUGCCUUCCAAGCUCUUAAUGCUUACAUUGUGGCGUCCAACUACUGCUACAUUCAUACAAAUUCUCUCUCUCACUUGCUUUUCCCAAACCCUCUCUACCUCUCUAACUUUCUGGUUUCUCUCCUCUUCUCUUCCGCUCUAAGCAGGUUUAGCUAUAUAGCCAUGGUGAUGAUGGGCUUGGAAAGGUUGAUGGUGACUUUGAAAUCUAAAAUAAGGUCCUUGAAGAUGAAGAAACCGUAUGACAAGAUUGAAAAGAGUGAAAGCAUGAGGAUUGAGAUCAGAAGCAGGAAGGCUCAGAAGCUUAUUCAAAAGACCCUCAAAAUUGCGGAUUCACCCAAGACCAAGGCUAUUGUUUUCUGACUUCUGAGUGUUUCUCAUCUAAUGAUAACAGACCAUAAAUAAAAGGCUGGUUAAUUUCUGUUUUUGAUGUUAAACAUUGUAGUUUUAUACAAGAUGGUAUAAGUAUCUCUUUUUUUUUUUGUCUGUCACGUACAUCUCUCUCUCUCUCUCUCUCUCUCUCUCUCUCUCUCUCUAUCAACCAUCCACAUGGAUGUACCAUAUCAAGAACAUAUGUGGUGGAUAUUCUUCCAGAAUUUAAAGCUGGGAAAGGUUGUACAUAUUUCUUUUUUCUUGUUUUCA